GAAUUUCAAGAAUUUCAAGAGUAAGAGGAUUAUUUCAAGAAUUUGCAGGACUAGGGAAAUAAUGACAAGAAUUCGCAGAAUUAGAGAAAGAGUACAAGAAUUCACAGAACUAGAGAAAGAAUUUCAAGAACUUGUGGAAUUGAGAGGAUAAUUUCAAGAAUUUGCAGAACUAGAGAAAGAAUUUCAGGAAUUCAAAGAACUAGCAAAAGAACGACUAUGGAAAGGAUUUCCUUGCCUAUCUUGUGGAAUGUUCAUGGGGAGUGGUUCUGGUUUGACGGGUUGGUUUCCUAUCUGUUUUGCUGCAAAUCAUAAGCAGAAAUAUGAGAUUUAUUCAAUGACGGAAAAUCUUGACAGUUGAUGCUGAUGUCUCUUUGGUAAAUGCGGAUGGAAUGUUAAUCAGUAGUCUGCUUAGGUGUUGAAUAUAUUGAUAUCGUUGGUCGGUAAGGUGCUCCCCUAGAUUUCUUUCUAGGCGAGUACUAUCUCCAUUUAUUUGACCUGCUGGUUAUCGUUUUUGGUUGUGUUGUUACUAUUAUUCUAAAUUUCGGUUCAAACUUUUCAACUUGUGGUUAGAAAUCACGGGAUCUCUCUGGGGCAAAUGAUAAGGGUAGUCAGUUUCUAAUCCAAUAGAUUUUUUGGUGAUUGCUAUUUUAUUCUUGUCUGCGGCGUUGGUUAGAAGGAUGCUACUAGGCAUUGGAGUCAAUUGUCUACUCAGUGAUAAAUGGUAUAAGUUAAUAUUGAGCGCUUUAUUUGCAUUUCAGCCUGUUUUAAAGGUGUGAACGAGAGGAAAGACAAUUUUCAGUAUCCCUUUUUUUAGUAUAGUUUUGGUUAUUAGUUCUAUUGCUUAUUUCUCUUUGGCAUUCAUGCAAGUACUCCUCAAUCCGUAUUGUGUAGUGGAUGAUUAAUUUGGUUUCUAGAUUUUUUGGAGGAAAUUUGGGGGAAGUUCCUUUGAUUCUUUGUUCUGAUCAGUGUCGUUAUAAGUUGUGUUGUUGAGGUGAUAAGAGGCUUAAGUUGAUAUGGAGCUGUUCUUUUGCACUUUGGAGCUCCUUUUUUGGUGUGCGUAUGUCUCUGAGCAAUUUGGAGAAGAUGUGAAUAAGGAUAAAGUAUGUUGUGGACAGGCUUCAGGUGACGGUCUCCAUGUUUUUCAUUCUUUUCGAUGUGAUUUUGGUUGUUGGUUCUGUUGCCUCUUGCUUCUUUACAUUUUAUAUGAGCUCUUAUGUUUGAAUGAUAAUUAGGCUUCUAGAUUCUGCAGUGGGUGCUUGAAGAAAAGUUGCAAUUUUUUAUUCUUUAUCUUGUAUUCUGAAUGGGAUUAUAUGUUGAUUAGUGGUUUUUAGUUGUUCAACCAGGUAUCUGGAUUUUUGGCGCUGUUUUUGGGUGUUAGGUAUGGAGGAAGAUGGCAAGAAAGGAUAAAACAAGGUGUGUCAUUGACGAUUGUGGGGACGGUUUCAGUCUGGAUUUUCUAAGUAUAGUUUUUAGUUCUAUUGCUUCUCGUUCAUGUAAGCCGUUUUGGUAUAUUAUGUAGAUUUGAAUGUUCUGCAGGGGAAUUUAGGUUUGAGGUGAUAGUCAUUGAUACGUUCUCUUCUCAUCUGAUUGGGAUUAUUAAUUUUUAUGUCUCUUGCUGAUGUAAUAAGAGUGGUCAGAGUUAAUAACAAGCUGUUUAUUUGCAUUUUGCGACUCUUUCUGGUUGUAUGGCAUGCCAGUGACGAAUUUAUGAGAAAUAGGCCGUGAAAAAGGGAAAACAAGAUAUGAAAUUUUCUUUGGUGUUGGAUGUAUCUUUUAGGAGCUUGGAGAUGUAGGAGUUCGGAAAGGGAAAAACAAGGUGUGCUGUGGACAAGAGGAAGUCAGUUGUCAGUCUCUGUGUUUUUCAUUAUUCCCAAUGUGAUUUUGGUUUUUAGUUCUAUUGGUUCUUGCUCUUUGCAUAUAUCACUUUAGCUCUUAUAUUUGGAUGAUAAUUAGGUUUCUUUAUUCUGCAAAGGAACUUGGAAAUAAUUUGCAAAUCUGAUUCUUUAUCUUGUAUUUUGCUUGGAAUUGUUUGUUGGUGAGUGGUAUGUAAGUGGUUUAACCUAUCGUCUGCAUUUUGGGGCUGUUAUUUGGGUGUAAGGUAUGGAGAAAGAGGAGAGGAAAGGACAAAACAAGGUGUGUCAUGGUGGAGACAGGUUUGAGUUAGCUUUUUUCAAAGUUUGGUUCUUAGUUCUGUUGCUUCUCAUUCAUGUGAGCCCUUCUGUUUUGUUAUGUACACCUGAAUGAUUAAUUUGGUUUCUAGAUUCUGCAGGGGAAUUUAGGUGUAAUGUGGUAGUCCUUGAUUCAUUCUCUUCUCUUCUAAUAAUAAUUGGUCUUGACUUAGGAACAAGCUAUUUAAUUGCAUUUUGGGGCUUUUUUCCUGGUUGCAAGGCAUCCUGUUAUCAAUUUCAGAGAUAGUCCAUGAGAAAGGGAAAACCAAGAUAUGCAAUUUGGAGCUCCCCAUUUUUUCUCUACUGUUGGGCAUUUAUCUGUGCAAUUUGGUGAAGUAGGAUGUGAAAAAUGGUAACAAGACAUGCUAUGGACACGAGGGAAUUCGUGUGUCGGUCUCCGUGUUUCUCAUUCUUUUGUUGUGAUUUUGGUUUUUAGUUUAUUGCUUCUUGCUAUUUGCAUUUCACAUAAGCUUUAUAUUUGGUUUCUAGAUUCUGCUGAAAGAACUUGGUAAUACGUUGCAAUUUUGAUUCCUUAUCUUGUAUCCAGAUUGGAAAUAUGUGUUGGUUAGGGGCAUUUAAGUGAGAUUACCUGAUCAUGAUAUUGUGGGGCUUUUAUUUGGGUGUUAGGUUUGGAGAAAGAUGUCAGGUUAAGGACAAAACAAAGUGUGUCAUGGACAAUGUGGGAGACAUGUUUGAAUCUGCGUUCUUCUAACUUUGGUUCUUAGUUCUAUUGCUUCUUGUUGAGAUAAAAGCGUCCUUAUCUGUAAUGUGCAUCUGAAUGGUAAAUUUGGUCUCUAGAUUAGGCAUAUACCAAUGACUGGUUUGGUAAUUAGGUCUGUUGAUUCUUGUUUGUAGUUUCGAUGAGCUCUUUUAGUUAUAUGGUUUAUAUGUGAACAAUGAACUUCUUUUCUAGAUUCUGCAGGGGCAUUUUGGGAUAUGGUUGGAAAAGGUUUGGUUCUCCUUCUUGUAUUCUGCUUUGGAUUAUUGAUUGCUUAGGUUGCAUUCAGUAUAUUGUUUACGAGUGAAACCACUCUGUUGAUCCUUGUUCUUUACUUCAAUGAGCUGUUUUAGGUGUAUGGUUUAUAUUUGAAUAAUGAACUUGUUUUCUAGAUUUUGAAGGGGAAUUUUGGGAUAUGUUCGGAAAGGUUUGGUUUUCCUUCUUGUAUUGUGCUUCAGAUUAUUUAUUGCUUGGGUAGCAUUCAGUAAUGAUGUGUGAAACCGCAUGGCCUAGUGAGAGUUGGUCCACUAGUGGAAUUUGUUACAGAGUCGGUAGCUUAGUUCUUGGUUUGCCAGAUGUUGCUUUGGCUGCACAGAUGGUGUGAUUGAGAUUGUAACAUAUUAGUUCUUUUCUGCUCUUUCUUGUUAGGACUGUUUCUCCUGUUGCUUAAAGUCGUGCUCUUCUUUUCUCAGAAGUAUGCCUCUUGGUGUUAACUGGUUGUGACCUCCUCCAGGAUUAGCCCCGUUUUGAUGUUUCCUCUUUUAAUCCAGAAGUAAACUAUCUUUUUCUUUUUUAGGUAACUGUAAGCAUGGAUGUGAUAUAUCUUGUUCUAUUCAUUAACAGGAAAAUUUGAGAUAUUUUGGUCAAGGAAGGUGGAAGGUUCAGUAGUUUGCUGGGUGUUGGAUGAUGUUUUAUAUGGUGUUAGGGUGCUUUUCUCAGUUUCUGCUACUGCUUCUUGUUGUCAAUACUUAUUGUUGUUGUUUGUGUUGUCACUAUUGAGGUUUGAAUUUUUCAAAUUCUUGUACCAGAGUCUUUGGGGCCUCUCUGAUGCACUUGAUAAUUCAUACUGGUGAUAUCAUCCAAGUGUUGUGAUACUUUUUUCCUCACUUCACCUUUGGUUAGGAGAUAGCUCUGUACUAGGCUUUGCAUGCUGUACAUUAUGUGCUAAUGUCAUAAGUGGUUUGUUGGACUUCUAAAAUUUGCUAUUUGUUGUGCAUCCGGUAGCAGGAUCUUUAGUGUACAUGGUUGAUUCAUUUGGAGUUUGUCGUAACUAUUUGCUUCCUGAAUGCAGGCAUCGGUUAGUUGAAUGUAGUUUAUAGUAGGCUUUGGCAAGCAAGCAAUUGUUUAUUAAGGACUUGUCAAAGCCGAAGACAAGCGAAGGGCAAGGUUGUCAGGCGCUUCCUUCUUUUCUAUUAUUCUGGUUAUUUGUUCUACCUGCGUUCUCCUCCUUGGCGCAUAGAAGUGCUUCUAGAUAUAUGCUUUGUAAUUGAAUGAUCGAUCUUCUUCAGAAUCAACCAGGAAUUUAUUGAAAUGUCGACGAAGUCCUAGAUUCUUAUAUUUUUUAAUUUGGAUCAUAGCUUGCUGUGUUGUAUAGUAGUUUAGUUCUGUUCUUUUUACUUGCUUGCAUUUGCCAGUCGCUUGUAGUCUAGUUUUCUGAGUGCAACUUUGGUGGCAUUAAUUGAUGCUGACUUUAGACUGAAGUAGCAUUGUUUCUCUUCCCUCUUUUUUUGGAACUGUAAGCAUAGAUGUGGUUUGUCUUCUCCCAUUGAUGUGGAGGUGUUGAGAAUUUGUAGUUUUCAUUGGUCAAGAUAGAUUCAUGGUGAUGUAGUUUGCUUAAUAUGUUUGGUUGGCAGGGUGCUUUCCUCAGAAUGCAGUAUCAGACAAAGUGUUUAAAUUGCCUUUUCUCUGAUAUGCACGCUAAGGGCAAUCACCCGAGUUUCGUGAUUGUCUCCAUACUUGCCCUCAGUUGCGACUUUGGUCAGCAGCAUGCUCUUUGUAAGGGUCAGAUUAUCGAGGUGAUGUAUGAAGGUUUUUUUAUUCACAUCUCCUGCUCAAAGCAAUAGGACUAAAUAGGGGAGGGUAGGAUAUGCAAUGGACAACACUGGAAGUGUGUGUCCUUUUUGUUUUUCCUCUUUAUAGUUUGGAUGCAAUUGUUAUUACUUGGACAUUCACAUAAAGUUUCGUAAACUCUUGUCAUUCUGGACUCUAUAGUUGAUGUGGAUAUAUGUCGACAAAGUAUCUGGUUCAUAUCUUGUACUCUGAUGGUGAUAUUGUAUUCUUUGGUUUACAAUUGUUGUUGCCUGGUGGCACUGAGCUGUCUGCCGAGACGAGAUUUGGUUUUGUAGCGUUUAUAUGGUUUUUGCUUGGUUUCAGUGGCUGCAAACAGUAGUGUUUGGCUUGGAUCAGAGUUUGAUCUGGGUCUUCGUCGUGCUAGUUACAUAAGGGCGAGCUGGGGUGCAUUUGGACAUACUCCGCUGCCACUCACCUCCAACUCCUCCUCCGCCUUUACCCUCCUCUACUUUCAUAUAUCUGAGGGCCCGUUAAGGAGACUGGUGGUUCCUGCGCCUGUAAAGCCUGUCCCACUAUCCACGCCACCGUCAUAGGGGGCUGCUGUGACGGACAAGAAUGUGAUUACGUUGGAGUUGCAGAGGCCUUCGGCUAAAGAGCUUCAAGAAUAUAUCAGACAGAGGAAGCUUGAGGAAGCUGAUCGAGGGCCCUUCUUUGGUUUCAUUGCCAAGAAUGAAGUCUGCUGUGGCAGGUACUAAGGAGCUAUUGUGAUGCCACCUUGUUUCCUGUGGUUUGUUUUGCUUGGGGAAGCUGUUACUUUCUUUAUUCCUAGUGCUUUUAUUUUCUUGAGUUGGACUGAAACGAAUAACAUGAUUGUAGUGAGUUCUAUAUCAAUUUACAGUUGUAAUGCCCAGUUUACUACAUAGGAAUUAGAUACUGGGCUUAAGUGGUUCUUGCAUGUAAUAGUUUGCCUUCUUGUUUGGAUGAUAAUUGGUUCUGCUGUGGGGACGUUAACUGAGUACGCAAGAGGCUUAGAUUUUUGUGGAUCAAGUUAGAAUCCUCCUCUCCAAUUUUAGAAUUGUAGAUCUUGGAUGAUCCAUUUCUUGAUGUUCCAGGUCUUCAAGAUAUGCGACUUGAGUUUAUCAACCGUCGAAUGGGUUUUUUAGUUUCUUGUGGUUGAACCAUUUCUACAUCAUGUGUUUAGCUCAACUCUACUGGACGUCCGAUGCUGUGGACACGUCUUCUUCAUAUACCAUAUACCGUGGGCAAAUUGAGUUGUAUAUUUUGGGAGACGUCUUGUAGCUGAUUUUCAUUGAAGUAGAAAUGCAAGGUACAAAUGUGCAGCAGCCAGCAGUUGUAUCGAUAUACCAAUGACAACGUUCUGGUAUGAUGAAAAUUGAUAAUUGGUAUCUUUUUGUGCUGCAGAACUUCAGUUCAUCCUUAAGAAGCCAACUCCCUGAUGGAACUACUUUUGUCUGCAGAAUUUUACUUAACUUCAAUACGGGUUCCCUAAAUACAUGAACUGACUGGUGUCUAGAAAUUACUUAUCCAGAAAUUUAAGGCGAGUGGACUCUACAUUAGUUGGCAAUAAUCAAAAUAUCUUUAAGCUUGGAGCCGGCCACAGUUCCCGAGCUUUUUGGUUGAGCUGGUCGUUCGCUGCUCUCUGCAUGGACGAAGCCUGCUUCCAAAAGAACAGAAGUCUGAAUCCGCAUUUUCGCUCUGCUUAGAUGGGGUUUGAAACUAUAACUAGCAUUGUUAAUGGAGAUGGAGUUCGGACACAUCCUGUGUGGGGAACUGGGGGGCCACCUAUUUGGUGAACUAACACGCAACCCAGACGCCAAUCCGGACUGGGAUUCAGUUGUUUAACAAAGAUGAUGAUGUUCAUCCAAGUCAAUAAAAAUACAAAAAUACAGUCCAAUUCUUGUGAUUAGGAGACAAAAUACACAAAAAAAAAAAAAAAAAAAGAAAAGGGAAGGACAUGGUCCCAUGAUAAUGUUCAGACGGAUCAAUUCAGCCAUGGGAGUUUACUGCGUCUUACGUUAUGUAAUAGUUAUGAACUUCACAAAUCCUCCCCGACUUAAAUGAAAUGGUGAAAAACUCGUCAUAAAAUUAAUAUACGUGCAACAGAUUGUCUGAAAGCUGAAUCUGUGGUGCACGUGCCGAUUAUGCUGGAUUUAUACCCUUUGGCACAAUGCCAUA